rnacentral:sRNA from 3 species
AUGUACCACGCGUACAUGCCGGUUCUGAGCGUACCGUCCAUAACCGUGUUGCCAAUUGCGCGCGACGUUUUGUCGGUC